rnacentral:rRNA from 1 species
UACGUAGGGGCAAGCGUUGGUUCGGAAUUACUGGGCGUAAAGGGCGCGUAGGCGGCACAGCAAGUCGGGAGUGAAAGCCCGGGGCUCAACCCCGGAAUGCUUCGGAAACUGCUGAGCUAGAGUACAGAAGGGGCAACCGGAAUUCCCAGUGUAGGCGGUGAAAUGCGUAGAUAAUUGGGAAGAACACCUGAGGCGAAGGGCGGGUUGCUGGGCUGAU